ensembl:lncRNA
GCCUUAAUGAGGUUUGGGAGGUUUUUGUUGCUUUAAUCGAACUUUUUGUGCUUUUCCAGGCUGGGAGAGCACCCAGAGGUGCUGGUGGCAGAGGGGGUGGCACCGUGUCCCCCCUGCUUGGGUGGGCAGGGAAUAUCCCGGGCUGGGGCGAAGUGGAUCCAUGGGUUUGGGAACGCGGCGAUGGAAGGGCAGAACUUCCCCUGGGAAGGGAGAAUCCUCCCCCCAAACCCAUCCCCGUCCCUCCCCAGCCCCCGGAAACUCCCCCUGGAUCCUUCCCUUCUCCGGGUGAGCGUUCCCGGAGCUGCUCCAGGUGCUGCCGGUGAUGGGAACCCCGCACAAAUCCCUGAUGGGAGCCGGGCAGGGCUGAGCUGGGAUGGGCACAGGGACACUGAGGGCGCACCUGGAAUGCUGCAGGAGGAGAGCGCGGGCUGCGGGAUCGCCGGGAUUUCCUCAGCUGCUUCCACGGCUGGGGUUAAUUAAUGACUCAUUAAAGCCCCUCCCCGAGGCUUUGCCGUCGUCGGGACUCGGGGCGCAGCAUUCCCAGAGGGACCUGGGGAGACCUUGGGGCUCCCGGGGCCUGAAGGAGUUUCAGGUGAGCCGGAGAGGGGUUGGGGACAAGGGAUGGAGGGACAGGACCCUGCCGGAGGGAUGGACGGACGGGAUUUUGGGAAGGAAUUCCCAGAGAAGCUGUGGCUGCCCCUGGAUCCCGGGAAUUUUCAGAGCCGGGUUUGGAGCGGCCCCAUCCCGCUGCUGCUCCGCAAUUCCGAGCUUUGGAUCCUUCUCCGGCUCCGUCCCCUCGCCACAAUCCCCCAAAAAACUCCCCAAAAACCCCUCGGGGCAUUCCCCACCUUUGCGUGCCAUUAACCGCAACCCCGGGCUGGAAUUGCCGAGCCCGGAGCUGCCCCGGCAGCCGCAGGGACCUGUCCCUGCUUUCUGCAGCACUUCCUUAAAUAAUCUGCUUUCCCCAACACUUAACCUCGGGAUCCUCCCCUUGGAACGCGGGCGAGUCUGGCGCGCACUCGCCGGACCACCCUGGGAAGCAAAUCCCGAUAAUUUAUGGAGAGGCUCAGCUGAGAACAGCCCUGGUGGGUUUUUUUUUUGUUGUUGUUGUUGGUUUUGUUGUUUUGUUUUUUUUUUUCCUUUCUGUCCUGACUAUAAAUUUUUUCACGGAGUUUACAGAACACCAGCAGAAGCUGGCGACGCCAGGGAGGCUUUCAGAACCUGCCUGGGCGUCGGGAUCAAAGCAGCAGCGAUCCCCUUCCUCACCGGGGGCGCGGGGAACGUCCAGGGGCCCCCAGGAUCCCAGAGCCAGCCCAGCUCUUCAAGGAUUGGAUUCAGGCGUAGCCCCGACUGAAAUCCUUGGGAAUUGCGACCGGCAGCGAGCAGCAGGUACCCGACUACAAAGAAUUGUUAAAAUCCUGGAAUUAGGGAAUUAUUUCUCCAGGAAAAGCCCUCGGAGAUCCUUGAUUCCAACCACGGACAAGGCCACCGCGUCCCCAAGUGCCACAUCCACACGGCUGCUGCUGGAAUUAGACAGGAACAGGGCCGGGAAAAGCCCUAGAAAAUAAAUAAUAAUUAUUUAAAAA